rnacentral:ncRNA from 1 species
CAAAGGUCUGGUCCUAGCCUUACUAUCAGCUUUUACUAAAAUUACACAUGCAAGUAUCCGCACCCCUGUGAAAAUGCCCCAAUUCUCCUAAUUAGAGAUGAAGGAGCUGGUAUCAGGCCCAUAAGCCCAAGACACCUAGCUUUGCCACACCCCCAAGGGAACUCAGCAGUGAUAAACAUUAAAAAUUAGCGUUAAGCUAGAUUUAGUUAUAGUAAAAAAAGUCGGUUAAUUUCGUGCCAGCCACCGCGGUUAUACGGGAGACUUAAACUGAUAAUUUUCGGCGUAAAGCGUGAUUAAUAGGUAACCUCAUUAAGGUGAAAUUAAGGCCUAGCCGUUAUACGCUUCCGCCUUAAAGAAAACCAACUACGAAAGUGACCUUAACCCUUUUGAACUCACGACAGCUGGGUCACAAACUGGGAUUAGAUACCCCACUAUGCCCAGCCUUAAACUUUGAUAACUUACAAUUCUCUCCGCCAGGGAACUACGAGCGCUAGCUUAAAACCCAAAAGACUUGGCGGUGCCCUACACCCACCUAGAGGAGCCUGUUCUAUAAUCGAUACCCCCCGCUUUACCUCACCAAUUUUUGCCAAAUCCGCCUGUAUACCGCCGUCGCCAACUUACCCUUUGAAGGUCAAAAAGUAAGUAUAAUGGUCUCUCACCAGAACGUCAGGUCAAGGUGCAGCGAAUGAAUUGGAUAGAAAUGGGCUACAUUUUCUACUUUAGAAAAUACGGAAAAUCACUAUGAAACCUGAUUAGAAGGCGGAUUUAGCAGUAAAAAGAAACCAGAACGUUCUUUUUAAUCUGGCCCUAGGGCGCGCACACACCGCCCGUCGCCCUCCUCGAUUUAAAUCUCAAUUAAAUAAAACCCUAAACAUAACCCUAGAGGAGGUAAGUCGUAACAUGGUAAGUAUACCGGAAGGUGUGCUUGGAAU